rnacentral:rRNA from 1 species
CAAAUCGUACCCCAAACCGACACAGGUGGUCAGGUAGAGAAUACCAAGGCGCUUGAGAGAACUCGGGUGAAGGAACUAGGCAAAAUGGUGCCGUAACUUCGGGAGAAGGCACGCUGACACGUAGGUGAAGUGAUUUACUCAUGGAGCUGAAGUCAGUCGAAGAUACCAGCUGGCUGCAACUGUUUAUUAAAAACACAGCACUGUGCAAACACGAAAGUGGACGUAUACGGUGUGACGCCUGCCCGGUGCCGGAAGGUUAAUUGAUGGGGUCAGCGCAAGCGAAGCUCCUGAUCGAAGCCCCGGUAAACGGCGGCCGUAACUAUAACGGUCCUAAGGUAGCGAAAUUCCUUGUCGGGUAAGUUCCGACCUGCACGAAUGGCGUAAUGAUGGCCAGGCUGUCUCCACCCGAGACUCAGUGAAAUUGAACUCGCUGUGAAGAUGCAGUGUACCCGCGGCAAGACGGAAAGACCCCGUGAACCUUUACUAUAGCUUGACACUGAACAUUGAGCCUUGAUGUGUAGGAUAGGUGGGAGGCUUUGAAGUGUGGACGCCAGUCUGCAUGGAGCCGACCUUGAAAUACCACCCUUUAAUGUUUGAUGUUCUAACGUGGACCCGUUACCCGGGUUGCGGACAGUGUCUGGUGGGUAGUUUGACUGGGGCGGUCUCCUCCUAAAGAGUAACGGAGGAGCACGAAGGUUGGCUAAUCCUGGUCGGACAUCAGGAGGUUAGUGCAAUGGCAUAAGCCAGCUUGACUGCGAGCGUGACGGCGCGAGCAGGUGCGAAAGCAGGUCAUAGUGAUCCGGUGGUUCUGAAUGGAAGGGCCAUCGCUCAACGGAUAAAAGGUACUCCGGGGAUAACAGGCUGAUACCGCCCAAGAGUUCAUAUCGACGGCGGUGUUUGGCACCUCGAUGUCGGCUCAUCACAUCCUGGGGCUGAAGUAGGUCCCAAGGGUAUGGCUGUUCGCCAUUUAAAGUGGUACGCGAGCUGGGUUUAGAACGUCGUGAGACAGUUCGGUCCCUAUCUGCCGUGGGCGCUGGAGAACUGAGGGGGGCUGCUCCUAGUACGAGAGGACCGGAGUGGACGCAUCACUGGUGUUCGGGUUGUCAUGCCAAUGGCACUGCCCGGUAGCUAAAUGCGGAAGAGAUAAGUGCUGAAAGCAUCUAAGCACGAAACUUGCCCCGAGAUGAGUUCUCCCUGAGACUUUAGGUCUCCUGAAGGAACGUUGAAGACGACGACGUUGAUAGGCCGGGUGUGUAAGCGCAGCGAUGCGUUGAGCUAACCGGUACUAAUGAACCGUGAGGCUUAACCUUACAACGCCG